rnacentral:lncRNA from 1 species
GGACGACGCGGAACCGGCUCUCUUCUCGUACGCCCAGCCCUAUCGCCUCUCCUCGCUGCGCCGCCUCCCCCUCGUCUCUCUCUCUCUCUCCCUCGAUCUGCGCCGCCCCGCCCCGCCCCGCCUUCCCCCGAUUCUUUCCCUCGCCGCGGCUGACUCCUCCCCUCUUGAUCUACAGCACAUGAGGGAAGCAGGCCGUCCUUUCUCUCGAUCUGGAGCUGCGUGACGGUAGUUUUGCAGAGGGGUUGCAGCUGGGCGGCGGUGUAGGCGUGCUUCCGGCGAGCUAACAACGGCGGUAGAGGCUCCUCUCCUCAAGGUGCGACAUCUCUUCCUUACCCCUUGUAUGUGCUCUGUGCUGUUCAAACUAGUGCAUCCGCUGUUACACUUUGCAGUCAUGGAGAUUGCCCAGCCGAGAGAGAUGCAGAGAUGGACUCAUGGUUGUCUUUUGAUUCAUUUUGUUUCUCUAUACUGUUCAAACGAAGGGGGUCUUUUCCUAAUUUCUACUGAAAUACAUGCUGUCCAGUUUAUCUUUGCAAUAUAUGUUGAUGUGUUAAAUCCCUAGUACAAGUCAUUGGUAGCCAUAUUCUUGAUAGUGUUUACUCCUGUCUACGUCUUCAGAUUUUGUUGCUGCAACCUCUACAAUCUACCUCAUACAUUGGUCAAGCGUGCUGCUGCUGCUACUCCAAGGCAGGAUGCCACACUGAAGCCAAAUGCACAAAUUAUCCCAAAGAAGGCAGCAUACAUUUGUUCAGAUCAAAUCAGCUCAGAGUUAGCCAAUACCGAAUCAGUGUUUUUCUUUACCUUUGGCGUCAUGUACACAGAAAAGAAAACGCCUACGAAGAUCCUGAUUUCCGUUGUGAAGUAUUGUGGUGUAUGUUUGCAUAUUCACAUGGAAAAUGAACUUGCUAUAUUAUGAUAUUGUUGUUGAAAAUUGUGUUCUGUGUAAUAUCAUAUAUGUAUCAUGCUUGUCAAUAUAUAGUGUUAUGUUGUUGUUUUUUUAAGUACAAAAGAAAUGCUGCC